AAACAUAUUCCAAAAGUUCUUGGUAAAAAUUUCGAAGUACCAUUACUCUAGUCUAAAGUAGGAGGGGAAAUUGCCACUCAUAUGAACAGUGUUUUGGCCCACAUUUCAAUUUAUUUACAAGAUUGCCACUCGGAUGCUUUUAGCUUUUAACGACGGUGCCAUCGGUUCGAAUGACGGGAAUUCCUGUCUAGGGUUAACAUUGCACGGUUGGGGGUAAAUGUUGGGUGGGCAUUGUUGUCAGUUAGGGUUGCAUUCGGUGGGAUCGAUGGCUCAGUGUGGUGUGGGAUUUGGUGGGAAGGCAUGCUGCUUGCAGAGAGGAGGAGAGAGAGGGGAGGGAGGGGGAGGGGGAGGGGGAGGGGGAGAGAGAGGGGUUUGGUGAGGGGAAGGCAUGCGACUUGCAGAGAGGAGAGAAGCUUAAAAGCAACUGCAGCAAGUUCAAUGGACAGGGUCGCAGCAAUGGAGACACCUUGGUCUGAACCAUUUCCCCUCUCCUCAGGCGAAUGCUGAACAAAGAGAAGAAGACCUACACAUAAUAGAAUCCGAUUCGCAAGGAAAAGAAGACAGCUAAAAUCAAUCCCUUCGACCUCCUCAUUGGCGGCGGCACCCACGAUCACCAGUGUUCUAAGUGAUCAUCGGGUUGUGAUGGGUUGGUGUUGGAUUUGAUUCGAUUGAGGAUAAUGUGGCGGAGACAAUAAUUCCCAAAUCCUCCAGCUUUCGGAUCAUACAAUCGUCCCACCGCAAAAAUGAUUGCGAUCCCUUAUUUAACCGCGUUAACCACGUACUUAUAUGCUAUGGAUUGCUCUUCGUUUUUGGCCAAGUCAGAGAUUUCUUCCGCAAAAUCAUUGAUUGGAGGAGUGCUAGCAAUUUGCAGGGUUAUGCUCCAAUUUGUUUAGGACUUGAAGAUUUCUAUGUUCGCCGGCUUUAUCUUCGAAUUCAGGAUGUUUCAAUAGGCUUAUUGCAAGUGCUCUUGAUGCUUGGUUUGAUGUGGUUGAAUGCUACUCCAAUGACUACAACAAAACACUCAAGCUAACCAAAAAAACCAGUAGAUGCCUUAACUUGGGAUCUUACAAUUACCUUGGCUUUGCUGCAUCUGAUGAGUACUGCACACCUCGCGCUAUUGAGACGUUGAAAAAAUAUUCUCCCAGUUCCUGUAGUAGCCGAGUUGAUGGGGGCACCACGGAUUUGCAUAAUGAACUGGAAGAGUGUUGUAAAUUUUGUUGGGAAACCUGCUGCUGUAGUUUUCGGAAUAGGUUAUGUCACAAACUCUGCUAUCCUUCCUGUUCUGAUGGGGAAGGGAGGCUUGAUUGUUAGUGAUUUCUUUGAACCACAACUCCAUUGUCAAUGGCGCAGAGGAUCUGGAGCUAGAGUUUGUGUUUUCCAACACAAUAGUGGAUUACCAAAAGGAGCUCAUCAAGUAUUAUGCGAGCAAGAUCAACCUUGAUCAUUUGGAUAUUUAAAGGAGCCAUUGAUAAAGGAAAGACGACAAGUUGUGAAGCUGUGUGCCAAUUUUGCCAAUUUUGCAGACAAGCAGAAACUCUGGCACAAUGAUCAAACAGGCUUUCAUGUUGCGUAUUUUAAUUAAUAGCUGUGAAACCCACUGUUUGUUGCACCACAGACGGUCUUGCCUCUGUCCUAUCCUCCUCUCGCCGCUGUCUCCCUUCUCUCGCCUCCGUCGUCUUAUUCCUCCUUUCUCUGUCUCUGGAAUCUUAUCGUCAUCUUCCUCGCAUGCAAGGCUCUGGCCCUCUCAAUUGAAACUAAAACGUGUUUCAGUUAUGAGGAAGAGCAAGAAGAAGGAAGAACCAGUAUUAGAAUAUCUUCCCAAAGAGUACUAUGAUGAUUCUAAGCCAUGAAGGAUUUGAUAAACCCACAAUUGAUACCAAUGUGCAGCGGCACGGCACCAACGGUUUUGGACAAGGAACAAUCUCCAUCUGGUACAUUUGUCCAUCCUUCUGGAGUGGAGCACUACUUUCUGACAGCAUAAAUGCUCUGAGAAACUGCUAUGGAGACAAACAGUAGUUUACUUCAUUCUAGAUAAUGCUGCCUUUUUGGAUUUCGUAUAAGUGUCCCGGGUCCAUUCUGGACCAUCAAAAGAGGGAUGAUCACUGUCAUUCGGACUGUGCGCAUCCACUUCAAAAUCCCGGUAAACAUGUCCUUUUCUUGAUUUCAGGCCAUGCAAAAUUCUUGGUGAUAAAACUGAGCUCGUGUCGUUGGUUUGUGCCUCUAUCCAAUUUCUUAUUUAUUUAUUUUAUCAAUCCUUUUCCUUCUUGGUUCUAUUUGUUGUUGCUGGUUCCGAUAUUUCAUUGUCCUAUCUGUGCAUGAUAUCAGUGCUGCCACUUUUCAUAUUCUUAUCAAUGCUUACAUCUUCACUCUUUUCCUUCUGUUUCUUUUGCUUAACAUGGUUUCGGCUUUUUGAGAUUGUGUGUUUGAUUAACAUUUGAUCGUAUGGUAUUAGAAUUUAAAUUUGAUUGGUUUUUUAAACCAAGAUUGUGCGUCAUUUGAUGUGAAUAAAUUAUGCCGACGGGGAUUUUGGUCUCUGGAUUUUUCAUGGUGUAAUUUUUAUGGCAUGAUCCAUUGGUAUCGUGUGCAUUUUUUAUCAACAAUAAUAAGAUUUUUCUCAGUAUUGCAAACAAGUUUUCUUAUAAUUGAAAUAUUUGAAAUCCCUGGUCUAUAAUCCUCUUGAUUCAUGGUUUUAACGCCUCCUGAUAAAAUAACUACAACGUUAUCACUUCUUUCAUCAGAUAGAUUUAAACAUUCUACCCAUUAUUGACUUUCUUUAACGAGUCUCACCCAUUUGUCAAAAAAUUAGAUGAGGUGACUUCAUACCAUCUCAGAGUAUUGUUAGAAUAUAAUAUGAUAUUUGAUUCUUUCUCUUUUUUUUCCCACGAGUCUCAAUUUGUAUUUGAAACAAUGUCUAAUAAACUUACCAGAUCUUCAUCGCUUAUCAUACUAUUACAGGUUUUGUUUUAAGGUUCUGAUGGAUUAAGCAAAAGCUCCUACCAAUUUAGCGGAGUGAACCAAGAUUUCAGGGCUUUUAUUAAUGACAUAUCACAGGCCAUUUUAAAGGUAAAUCUAGAUGCCAAUCGCUAUGCAAUUUAGUUUUUACUUUUAGCAUGUUCCGAGUGACCUUUGAAUUUACAUGUUUAGUUGUUUUCGUUUUACCAUCCUAAUAGGUAUGUGCGUAUUUCCAUUGUUUAGUUGUUUUCGUUUUACCAUCCUGAUAGGUAUGUGCGUAUUACCAUUCUGUUUAUCCCCAUUCUCUGGUGGUGUUUACUGCAUUGUUUCUACACAAUCUCUAAUGGUUCCAUUGCUGGACAUAAAAGAAAUUUCAACUAUUUUUUUUUCUUCUUUUUUUUUUCUAUUUAUUUAUCUGCAUGUUAUUUUGGUUUGUUGAAAUUUCGAUUAUAGUUUGUUUUGUGCUGGAUGUAAAAGUUUGUUCUUCAAUGAUUAUAUAUAGCUUAAGUACAUGGUGGUUACCAUGUUUUUCACGGUGGAUCACUUUCGUUGAUAGUAGGUUCGACAGAAAGUUGAAGAACACAUAUGAUCAACUACUUUUACGAGAUCCUGCUCAUACAUAGUUGUUUAUUUUAGCAUAGAUUUUACACUCUUACUUUUAGGGAAUGUGUGUGUAUAUAUAUGCAUGUAUGUAUGAGUUGGCACAGAUGCUCAGACAUGCCACCCAAGCCUAAGCAUUUGAAAAUGUUUGUUCUCCUUGGUGAUAGAAUUUGGCAUCUUUCAGUACACGAUGGAGAUAUCCAGGUCUCUCUUUUCUCUCUUUCCCCCUCCCUAUAUGUAGUUUAAUAUAAUUGAACAGCUCUAUUUAUUUAAGAUUUAGUUGCAUUCGUAAUUACUGAAAUUUGUUGCAAGAAAUUGGGGGAUGAAUUUGGUUUCAGGGGAAUGUUAUCCUGUUUUUUUCUUAUACUGCAUAGAAAAAAAAAAGACAAUGCAUUGGGUACAAGUAUAUGGUUUUUAUCAUUUAUUUCUGUAGUUUGAAAGUCAAUUGUGUUUUUGUUGCCGCAUCAUAUAACUAUUCAAAAUGCCCAUUUUAGCAUUUCAAUACCAUUUGCACGUCUUUGUUAGCACUUUGAAUACCUUAUCCCCAAUUUUCAAGAUCAUGCAAAACAAAGUGACAUUGCCUCUCUGUUUUUUGUAUCUUUGUUUAUCUCUCUGACAGACGAGUGCAGUGCAUGUGUCUGAAUUUAUUCAGGUUAAAUGUGUCUUCAUGCAGUUAAGACGGGUGCAUUGAAGUCCUGCAGCAACGUGCGGGCUUAUUUUCUCGUAUAUUCUAUAAGUGAUGCCAGGGAUAAGGCUAGAGAAUAAUUCAGAGCAAACGAGACUUGGCAAAGAAAAUGGGAUGGAUCCUCUUCAUACCAUCCGAAAAUGUUGAAGACGUAGGGAUAAUGUGUCUUCUUUGCUGCAAAGAAAAAAUUAAUCAAUAUGCUAUGAUUCUUAUUUCUAUUAUGUCUUAUUUUUCAAACUAUUGAAGUUAAUUAGAUGCAAAAUACCUGAGAGUCAAAUGCCGAAAAGCACAACUUUGUAUGAGAGAGACAGAGCUCAUACGGAUAUGAUGACUUCGUCGUUUAUCCGUAUGCAAGGAAUGUGAGAUAUCUUGGCCCAAUCUUCUCCCGUCUUAUCCUCGUACCUCUUCUCCAGGGUGGAACAAGAGGAGAUCACCAGGUAAGAAAGAGAGGGCGGCAAACGGUUUUCUGGCAGGAAUUGGAGUUUUGGACACCUACGAAUUCGUAGCUUUUGAAGAGAGGUGAGGUGUAGAAGUCCCUCUGCUGGAAGGGCCAGACUUGGGCAAAAAGUAAUAGUUAGAUAUUGAAGAGAAGUGAGGUGUUGAAGUCCCUCUGCUGGCAGGAAUUCCAGACUUCGGCAAUUAUGUAUAGUUAGCCGGUGAAGAGAAGUAGGGAGCAGCUGUUCCUUGAGCAACGGUGCCGAGAUCUCGCCAGCAAUUGUAAAUUCUUGAAGGGAGGCAAGUCCUUGUAAUCCCCACUCCACUGAAGGCUUCACUUUGUCGCAAUCUAUUGUAAAAUAUCGCAGGUUGGGAGGCAAACCCCCUUGGGCAAAUGAUACAAGAUUUGGAAGAUCGAAUAAUUCCAAUCGUUCUAGGGCGGUGAGGGUGCGAAUUUGUUCGGGGAACGACUUCAAAUUCUUGCACAUCCAGACCUUCAAUUCUCUCAAGUUGGGAGUAGGCAAUCCUUCGUCCGGGAAAGACGCCAUAUUUGGACAGUCGUUGAUUUCUAGCUGAAUGAGAUGGCUUAGGUUCUGAUCAACUCCUUCAAUAGAAAAGGAUUCCAGAUUCUCACAGCCAUGGAUCAAAAGAGUUGAAAGUUUGGGGAAAACGCCCAACGGGAAGGACCCCACUGAAUGAAAACUAUCGUAUAUCUUCAAAUCCUCAAGGGAUGUCAAUUCGGCCAUCAUCUCAUGAGAUAAGAACUCUAAUGACCCCACAGUUGGGCAAAAGCUGAAAGUCAAUCUUCGAAGAUAUUUCAUUUUUGGCAGGCUCCAAAAUUUUGCAUCAGAAUUGGAAAUUCCAAGUGUAGACAACUUCUUCUCUACUCUCUCUAUUAAUGAUGUAGAUAUCCACACCUAGACACGCUAAGUGUUUUCAAGCAUGGAAGAUGAUUGGGCAAGUAUCCUCUCAGCUUCUUACAGUAACUUAUUCUCAGCACCUCGAGACAAGGAAAAUCUGAACAUCGACCUCCACUUGGACUCGGUAACCAAUCCUCCCACUCUGGCAUCUCCUUAAACUCUAGCGUCUUCAGAGACCGAAAGGGCUGAAUUACAGAAGCUCCAUUAAGAUCACCAUAGAAUUCAACACCAACCGUCCUAACAAAUUUCAUUCUUUCGACACGUAGCUCUUUAAGAGUGGGCAGCUGCCCAAAACUUGGCAAGGACAAACAAUACUUACAAUCACUGAUCCACAUGAACCGUAUGUUAUAGAAGGAAUUAGAGCUUCCUAACCAGUUUGGGAAGCUGGUUCCUCCAUAGAAUCUGAUAGUCAGUUUCUCCAAAUUUACGCAAGGUUGGAGCUUGUCAAGCACAUCUCUCUCCUUUUGGGAAUCAUCGGCGUCCUCCUUACCCCAUUCCAACUCUAAGUCCUUGAGUUCUUUCUUAUCCUUCAAGUUGGCUUCCAAUGCAUCCACAACUUGAACUACAUUGUACAGAUUUGAAAUAUGAAGUCUUCCUUGAAGAUGCUGUAACUCCCUUAAUUCUCCAAUGCUAGACCCGGUAGAUUUCCCCACAACGAAAGCAGUUAAUGUUCUCAAACUUUUUAGUCUUCCAAUUGCCACUGGCAUCCCUUGUAUGUUUGUUUUACUGACAUCGAGGUAUUGCAAACUACUCAAUUCCCUCAUAUCCACAGGUAAUUUAGUAAGGGAGCUGCAACCUGCCAAUGUUAAUGUCCGUAAAUUUAUCAAUCUUCUCAUGUCUGCUGGCAGUUCAAUGAGAGCAUAACAAUAUGACAGCAGUAACGUCUGCAAAUUGUAGAGAGUGCAAACUGCACCAGGUAAGCUUACAAUUGCUGUAUGGGAGAGAUCCAAGUAGCGCAGGUGAAUGAAAUUGCCCACAGAAUCAGGUACUUCAACAACAUUUUCAUAAUAGGACAAUGAUAAAACCCGUAAACGUUUCAGGGAUGGCAACAAAUCUUGUUGAAACUUUUGACUUAUGUAGAUCGUCCCAUAUGCUUCAAAAGACGUAGGUAGGAAGGUCCGCAGACACUUGGCCCCAUUUAAGGGCUCAAAUUUUUUAGCAGGAUCAAUUUCUCCCCUAGCAUAUGACAAAUGACGAAGUCUUUUAACUUCUUGUGAUUCCUUCUCUUCCAACCUGAGAAAAAAUCCCCUAGACAUGAACUGACCCAAGUCGUUAAGAAGAUCAUGCAUUGUGAAACCAUGCUCCCUUGAUUUUUGAAGUAGUGAUCGUGAUACUAGCUCAUUGAAGUAACUUCUAGCCGUCUCUUCCAUUCUUUGCCCGUUAAAAUCAUGUGGAAUUAAACCUUCUGCCAUCCAAAGUAGAACUACAUCUUCAUUCUUGAACAAAUAGUCUUUUGGAAAUAGUGAACAAUACACAAAGCAUCGUUUCAACUGAGCAGGGAGAUAAUGAUAGCUCAACCGUAGGGCUGGAAGGAUAUCACUUUUAUCAUAAGGUAGCUCCCAAAGCCUACUAUUUAAUAAUUUAUUCCAUUCCUUGAAGUCUCUCUGGCAACGUAAUAGACCCCUGAGUGUCUCUGCUGCUAAAGGCAAACCAUUGCACUUGCUUGCAAUUUUCUUGCCAAUUUCCUCCAAAGUUGGAUAUGCAUUGUGGUUUUCAUGUCCAAAUGCAUGUUUUGCAAGUAACAUCCAACAAUCUUCAUGCGAUAAAGGUUUCAAGUGUUGAAUGGGCACAUUUUUCAUGAGAGAUGCGACAUUUUCGCUUCGUGUUGUCACGAUGACUUUACUUCCCCUUGCCCCGGAAGUAAAAGGAGUUUGUAGGCACCUCCAAUCAGAAUAUUUCUCACUCCAAAGGUCAUCCAAUACAAAUAAGAAUUUCUUUCCCCUCAAUUGUUCCCUAAGUUCAACUUGAAGCGAAUUCAAAUCUGUCAUCUUAGAAGGCUUUGAAGUCAGCGACUCGAGAAGAGUUUUAGUCACCCUAAUAGCAUCAUAAUCUUCUGAAACACAAGCCCAAGAUCUAAGGGCAAAGUGCUCUUUCACCUUAUCAUCAUUGUAAAGGGCUCGAGCAAGGGUCGUCUUGCCAACCCCGCCCAUACCAACAAUGGUGAUGAUAGAUACAUCAUCCUCGCUUGCAUCAUCAGAGAACAAGACUUUUGAUAAAUUUUCUUUAUCUCCGUCUCUUCCAUAUACACAAGGUUCAUGAAUCAAGGAAGUUGUUGGAGUUCUUUGUGAACCCUUCCUCGCAACAUCUCCCGUCAGACCAAGGGCAACCUUCUGUUGCACAAAGCCAUCCAGCCUUUGUAAUAACCCUUGUAUCUCAACAUUCAUGCGUUGAUAAAAAUGAGUAGGAGAAGUAGAGAAGAAGUUCCACACCUUGUCGGUUAAUUUGUCGGUUUGACCUUCACCUUCCACCUUGCAUCGCAAAGCUUCAGUGUCGAUCUCAUCCAGCAAGUCCUCCGCGUCCAAGACAGCAUGCUUGAGCCCGUCAAGCCAUUUUCUCAUAGCAAGGUUUGAAAUUUGCUUCUCUUCUGCAUCAUUGAGGACUGCACAAAGGGCGGGCAGCGUCACCUUCAGUUUCUCGAGGAGGGGUUCGUCCAGCUUCUUCUGCAGGAACAAGUCACCAAACUCGGUUGAA